UUCGAUCAUGGCUCAGAUUGAACGCUGGCGGGAUGCUACACAUGCAAGUCAGACGGCAGCACGGACUGGUCUGGUGGCGAGAGUGGCGAACGGGUGAGUAAUGUAUCGGAACGUGCCUAGUAGCGGGGGAUAACUACCCGCGAAAGCGUAGCUAAUACCACAUACGCCCUUCGGGGGAAAGCGGGGACCUUCGGGCCUCACUAUUAGAGCGGCCGAUAUCGGAUCAAGCUGGUUAAUUGGAGUAACGGCUCACCAAGGCGACGAUCCGUAGCUGGUUUGAGAGGACGACCAACCACACUGGGACUGGGGCAGCCGAACUCCUACGGGAGGCAGCAGUGGGAAUUUUGGACAAUGGAAACCACAGUCCAGCCAUCCCGCGUGUGCGAUGAAGGCUUCAGGUUGUAAGCACUUUUUGGCAGGAAAGAAACGGCACGGGAUAAUACCCCGUGCAACUGACGUACCUGCAGAAUAAGCACCGGCUAACUACGUACCCAGCAGCCGCGGUAAUACGUAAGGGUGCAAGCGUUAAUCAGAAUUACUGGGCGUAAAGCGUGCGCAGGCGGUUCCGGAAGAAAAGAUGUGAAAUCCCAGAGCUUAACUUUGGAACUGCAUUUUUAACUACCGAGCUAAGAGUGUGUCAGAGGUGGAAUUCCGCGUGUAGCAGUGAAAUGCGUAGAUAUGCGGAGGAACACCGAUGGCGAAGGCAGCCUCCUGGGAUAACACUGACGCUCGUGCACGAAAGCGUGGGGGAGCAAACAGGAUUGAUACCUGGUAGUCCACGCCCUAAACGAUGUCAACUAGCUGUUGGGGCCUUCGGGCCUUGGUAGCCUGGCUAACGCGAUGAAGUUGACCGCCUGGGAAGUACAGUCGCAAGAUUAAAACUCAAAAGGAAUUGACGGGGACCCGCACAAGCGGUGGAUGAUGUGGAUUAAUUCGAUGCAACGCGAAAACCUUACCUACCCUUGACAUGUCUGGAAUCCCGAAGAGAUUUGGGAGUGCUCGCAAGAACCAGACACAGGUGCUGCAUGGCUGUCGUCAGCUCGUGUCGUGAGAUGUUGGGUUAAGUCCCGCAACGAGCGCAACCCUUGUCAUUAGUUGCUACGAAGGGGCACUCCUAAUGAGACUGCCGGUGACAAACCGGAGGAAGGUGGGGAUGACGUCAAAUUCUCAUGGCCCUUAUAAAUUCAGGAGCACACGUCAUACAAUGGUCGGGACAGAGGAAUUCGCCAACCCGCGAGGAGAAUAAUCCCAGAAACGAUCGUAGUCCGGACCACGAGUCUGCAACUCGACUGCGUGAAGUCGGAAUCGCUAGUAAUCGCGGAUCAGCAUGUCGCGGUGAAUACGUUCCCGGGUCUUGUACCACCGCCCGUCACACCAUGGGAGUGGGUUUUACCAGAGUAGUUAGCCUAACCGUAAGGAGGGCGAUUACCGGUAGGAUUCAUGACUGGGGUGAAGUCGUAACAAGGCCAA
rnacentral:rRNA from 1 species